rnacentral:rRNA from 1 species
AGGAUUCCCCUAGUAACUGCGAGUGAACCGGGAAAAGCUCAAAUUUUGAAUCUGGCGGUCCAAGGGCCGUCCGAGUUGUAAUCUAGAGAAGCGUCUUCCGCGCUGGACCGUGUAUAAGUUUCCUGGAAUGGAACGUCGUAGAGGGUGACAAUCCCGUCUUUGACACGGACUCCCAGUGCUAUGUGAUGCGCUCUCGACGAGUCGAGUUGUUUGGGAAUGCAGCUCAAAUAGGGUGGUAAAUUCCAUCUAAAGCUAAAUACAGGCGAGAGACCGAUAGCGAACAAGUACCGUGAGGGAAAGAUGAAAAGAACUUUGGAAAGAGAGUUAAACAGUACGUGAAAUUGCUGAAAGGGAAACGCUUGAUGUCAGUCGCAUCGUCCGGGGAUCAGCCUCGCUCUUUUGCUCGGCGUACUUCCUGGUCGAUGGGUCAGCAUCGGUUUCGACCGUCGGAAAAUGGCUCGAGGAACGUGGCACUCUUCGGGGUGUGUUAUAGCCUCGAGUCGAAUACGACGGUCGGGACCGAGGAACUCAGCACGACCUUCGGGUUCGGAGCUUCGGCUCACGUUCGCGUGCUUAGGA